rnacentral:lncRNA from 1 species
CAGUGCGGGAGGGAAGCCUUCUGUUGCCAUGGAGGGAGCCGCAAGGCUCUCUACGGAUGGGGUGUGAGCAGUAUGAAGAGCCGGGGUAGGGUGUUCUCGAGGAAACUGCUGGAUAAAUGUCAGCAUGGAGCAUGUGAGGCCCAGCAAGUACUUUCUGGAAACUUUCAGACUAGAUUCUGCGCAGCUGCCCUCAAAGCACCUUAAAGGCACACCGGAGUUUCCUAAGAGUGAAGCCUGGCCCCCCCCCAGAA